rnacentral:rRNA from 1 species
AGAGUUUGAUCCUGGCUCAGGAUGAACGCUAGCGGCAGGCUUAACACAUGCAAGUCGAGGGGCAGCAUGUCCAGCAAUGGAUGAUGGCGACCGGCGGAAGGGUGCGUAACGCGUGAGCAACAUGCCCUAUACAGGGAGAUACACCAGGGAAACUUGGUCUAAUAUCCCAUAGCAUUCAUUGAAGGCAUCUUUAAUGAAUUAAAGCUUCGGUGGUAUAGGAUUGGCUCGCGUGACAUUAGCCAGAUGGUGAGGUAACGGCUCACCAUAGCAAUGAUGUCUAGGGGUUUUGAGAGGAAGGCCCCCCACACUGGGACUGAGACACGGCCCAGACUCCUACGGGAGGCAGCAGUGAGGAAUAUUGGACAAUGGAUGGAAAUCUGAUCCAGCCAUGCCGCGUGCAGGAAGACGGCCUUAUGGGUUGUAAACUGCUUUUAUACGGGAGCAAUAAGGGUUACGAGUAAUCCGAUGAGAGUACUGUAUGAAUAAGGAUCGGCUAACUCCGUGCCAGCAGCCGCGGUAAUACGGAGGAUCCGAGCGUUAUCCGGAAUUAUUGGGUUUAAAGGGUGCGUAGGCGGCCAUUUAAGUCAGCGGUGAAAUUUUGCAGCUUAACUGUAACAGUGCCGUUGAUACUGUUUGGCUAGGAUUUGGUUGUAGUGUGCGGAAUGUGUGGUGUAGCGGUGAAAUGCUUAGAUAUCACACAGAACACCGAUUUGCGAAGGCAGCACACUAAGUCAUUAUUGACGCUGAGGCACGAAAGUGGUGGGGAUCAAACAGGAAUUAGAAUACCCUGGUAGUCCACACUG